rnacentral:rRNA from 1 species
ACAUAGCCACAAGUUAACAUUUGUGGUCUAACCUGCCCAAUGUGCAAUUAGAAAGAUGAAUGGCCGCGGUACCCUGACCGUGCUAAGGUAGCGUAAUCAGUUGGCUUUUAAAUGGAGUCAGGAAUGAAUGGAAUAACCGGGUUUAGCUGUCUCCUUUCUAAUCAGUUGAAUUUACUGUUCAAGUGAAAAAGCUUGAAUAAAGAAAAGGGACGAGAAGACCCUUAGAAUUUUUUUUAGUGGGAAAUUUUUUUCUAAUGAUUUUGUUGGGGCGACAUGGAAAUAUGUAAAAACUUUCCUUUGAUACUUGCCGAUUUUGUUAAGUUAGGAUAAAUUACCUGAGGGAUAACAGCAUAAUUCUACAGAUGAGUUUGUGACCUCGAUGUUGGACUAGGGAACUAGCAAGCUAGCCGUUUGUUGUGUGGGUUCUGUUCGAACUUUAA